rnacentral:misc_RNA from 1 species
UCCGACUUAACGUCGGCAGUCUCCUUAGAGUGCCCAACUUAAUGCUGGCAACUAAGGACAAGGGCUGCGCUCGUUGCGGGACUUAACCCAACAUCUCACGGCACGAGCUGACGACAGCCAUGCAGCGUCUGUGCUGGCUCCCGACUUUACGGGUGGUUCCCCUUUCGGGGUUCUACUUCCAGCAUGUCAAGCCCAGGUAAGGUUCUUCGCGUCGCAUCGAAUUAAACCACACGCUCCGCUGCUUGUGCGGGCCCCCGUCAAUUCCUUUGAGUUUUAGCCUUGCGGCCGUACUCCCCAGGCGGCUCACUUAAUGCGUUAGCUUCGACGCGGAGGGGGUCGAUACCCCCCACAUCUAGUGAGCAUCGUUUACGGCGUGGACUAC